AUUGAACGCUGGCGGCAGGCCUAACACAUGCAAGUCGAACGAGUGGCGGACGGGUGAGUAAUGUCUGGGAAACUGCCUGAUGGAGGGGGAUAACUACUGGAAACGGUAGCUAAUACCGCAUACCAUCAGAUGUGCCCAGAUGGGAUUAGCUUGUUGGUUGGGUAACGGCUCACCAAGGCGACGAUCCCUAGCUGGUCUGAGAGGAUGACCAGCCACGCGGGAACGGUGACACGGCCCCGUUGCCUACGGGAGGCAGCAGUGGGGAAUAUUGCACGAUGGGCGCAAGCCUGAUGCAGCCAUGCCGCGUGUAUGAAGAAGGCCUUCGGGGUGUAAAGUACUUUCAGCCGGGAGGCGUUACCCGCAGAAGAAGCACCGGCUAACUCCGUGCCAGCAGCCGCGGUAAUAC
rnacentral:rRNA from 1 species